rnacentral:rRNA from 1 species
UACGGAGGGUGCAAGCGUUAUCCGGAUUCACUGGGUUUAAAGGGUGCGUAGGCGGAUUAGAAAGUCCGUUGUGAAAUCUCUGAGCUUAACUCGGAAAUUGCGGUGGAUACUAUUAGUCUUGAAUAUUGUGGAGGUGAGCGGAAUAUGUCAUGUAGCGGUGAAAUGCUUAGAUAUGACAUAGAACACCAAUUGCGAAGGCAGCUCACUACUCAAUCAUUGACUCUGAGGCACGAAAGCGUGGGGGUCAAACAGG